UGUAUCAACUUCCGGCUUUCUGCUAUGAAUUUUUGCUAUUUUAAAGAAGUUUUUGACCCUUUUGGUUGUUUAAUGUCUGAAUUUCAUUUUGGUUUUGUCAAUCCCGCUGAAUAAGUGGUGGGAGGUUUCUCACUUAGUAAAAGCUAUGAAUGCCUGGUAGCUAAAGAAGUGGCAUUCUCAGGAGGGAGACCAUUCCCCUGCAGAAAAUACCCCAGAUUUUCCAUCUAGAGCUGUCAUCUUGCUGACUGAGAAGCAGCUGGAAGUAUCCUUCCUGACAUCCUCUCUGACAUGCUCUUUGGGAAAAAGAGAUAUGGUGCAUCUCCUUAUUCACUGCUUCAUAAGAGCUACACUGAAGGGGGAAUCUGCUUGGCUAUAUGGAAUGUGGCUCGUCUAUAGUGGUGGAAAAUUCUGUCUCCCUCCUCUCUUCCACUUAAAAUCUGAGGGACAGUCAUGCUCCAGGAAAACGAGAAGCAUGCUCUUAUGGGGAUAGCAGAGCCCACCCUUUUCACUGGGCAUGGGAAUCUCUCCGGGUUCGCUGCAAAGACAGAAUGCUGAUGAGUGCAAGGGGUCUGAGUGCUGGGUCAGUGGUGGGGAACAACAGGCCUUCACAACCAGCCCCACAGCACCAGCAGUCACAAACCGGAAGGAGGCCCAUUUUGGGAAGACACCUGCAGUAAGAAGAAGUCCAUCUAUUUGGAAAGCCUUAAUACAGAAGGUUUACCACUAAAGGCAGAAGAGACAGAGAGAGCUGCUGAUCCUUUUCCAGGUGGUGACUGGCAAGACACAAAAGGCAUGUCAGCAUUCUUUAUCCCCUUUUCCACGUUCUUGACUGCGGAUCUGAGUGUAUACUUGUGCCCCUGGGGCUAGAUGAGGUGCCAAGGCACAUGCACCUGCCUCAUGUGCAUGCAGCCAGUACAACAUAAGCAUUGCUUAUAAAUCCAGAGUUGCUUGUACCAUGGCAAGAGCAAAACAGAAAAAUAAGGUGUGAGGCAGAAGUGGCAGGCCUUUGGAAAACAAGAAAACCACCCACUGGGACCUGGUUUUGCAGAUGGACUGUGAGAAUGCCCAAACACAUGUGGGCUGUCUGCCUGGGUACCUAGUUUUUGUGCUUUGCAUGCAGUAGUGUUUAUAAAGUGUGUGUAAAAUAAGCCUUACUUCUUACUAAUAUUUUUUUUAACUUAGAAUAUUGGGGUUUUUAUCAUUAGUAUUCUUCUUUAAGUACUCAAAAGAAAUUAGUUAAAUACUAGACAGAAACAUGUUUAUUUUCCUUUUUGUCAGUACAUGUGCAUCCCUGCUCUCUUGUGCUCUCUCUUCCUCUCUCUCUUUUGUGUUUACAUCCUCCCAGACAGUUCUUGCGCUCACAGCUCUCUUUAACAGGACUGUUUUAUUCUUCGUAAAAUUGAGACUUAUAAAAGAAAUAAAUCUUGCUAUUGUUCUCUUGGGGUGCAGCUGUGCUAAACUGCAAUCAUGGGAGUUGAAACAGGUUUCCUCUCACAAUAACACUUAUAUUCGUUUCCUGACGCUCUUUCUUAAUAACGAGUGUCUUCAGCUGACCAAGGGGAACAAGAUUCCUCUGCUCAGCACUUCUGAAGCUAAAAUAACACCAGUGUAGCACAGAACAGUUACUCUUAUAUUGCAGUAUUUUAAUUAUUUUUAUUUUUGCAUUGGCUAAAGAUCCGCUAGAUCUCUAAUUUCUGAGUUAAUACUUCCAUUUCCUCCUGUUCCUUCCCUGAAAUUUCUCCUACUACUGUGACAUAUUUUUUCAUGGAGAGCUAAUUAAUCCAGGCCUUACCACUUAUAUUACCUGCUUCUCUUUGUCUUUUUACUAAAGGUUGAGCACAAAAAGUAGAUCAAAACAUCUGAGAAAGAUGCAAUAUAGAGCUUAUCGAGUCUCAUAAGGAUGGAAAAACAUGACACUUCCAGCAUAUUGAGGCACUUCCUCUGACUUCUGGAAGUAAGAGUGAAAUGGGUAUCUUUGUGUUUCUGAUUUUUCACUUGUAAAACUUAUUAGAGUAGUAGAAUUGUGUUAACCAUAUCUCCUCUGUAUGUCCAGACCUUUAGAUGAAACAUGUGGUAGAUAUUACUCAGAUUUUUAUCAGUGAUACAUACACAAAUGUGAUACUUUCAGUUUGGAGGACAGAUUCUAGCAAUUGAUACCUUAGUGACUGUCAAAAAUAUGUCUUUUCCUCUUUUUAUUUUCCUGACAUGAAUAAAUGCUGUUUACAGAGCAGUUAAUAUAUUACAAAUGUUGCUGAAAACAGGAAAGAGUGAGUUCUUCUCACUUUCAUUUCAGAAGACGUUGCUAUGGAAAGCAAUAUCUGCUUUAGUUAAGUUUGAAAAUCUGUACAGGAAACUAAUAUUUUUUUAUGUUAAUAUUUUUAACCAAUAAAUUGUCUUUCUUUGUAUAUAACAAGGACUUCAGGAAAACCUCCUUAAGUAUAUAUAAACAAAAAACUGCCUCCUGUUGUGUUUGCAUCUUCCAUGUCUGCCCUGCAGCUGACGCAUCCCUCUGUAUCUUUUAAUGAAGAUGAAAAGCACUGCAAGACCUUAUUAUUGUAACCUUUCCUUUAACACAGGGGAGAGCCUGGAUCCGGUACUAAGCAAGAAAACAUGAAAAGGCGCUUUUUCUUUUUUUUCCCUUUUUUCCAGGGGAACAAGGUCAUGAAAAUGACAAUCUGCAGGAUGCAAUGCCUGGAUAAACUGCUGGUGUGGAAGUAGCUGCCAAUAGGAAGAACACCUGCAAAGGGCUCUGUACUAUCUCAUCCUCACUGUGUCUCUCUUAUUAUACACAAAGAGCACUUUUUGCAGAGUGCUGUCACAGACCUUUGCUGCAUAUAAUUCUUAAGGGCAGCAUAACAGAUCCAGGCAGAGAGAGUGGGAAGACUGUUUCACUGAUGUCCGUGGCAACAUUUACCUGCUCUAGGGUAUUCACAAGCUUUGCUACUUAUUUAAGCAUAGCAUUACAAGGCUUUCAGAACUGACUUCAGGAGACUUGGAUGCUGUACUCCCUAAUACACAAUAUUUAUUCUGCUCAAAAGCAGUAAUCAACAAUGUUUUGAAGGGCUAUGACAUACUGGAGAAAAAUGCCUGGCACUGGAAUUCAUAUGGCCUGACUUCAACUCUUUGUAAAGCUUACUAUGAGGUCUUGGGAAAGACAUCUAAUGUACAUUUAAUGUGUGUCAAGUUCUUCAGCAUGAAUAAUUGUUUUUAACAUCUGUGAACUUCUAUGAGAUCUACAGUGGAAAAGCACUAGGGAGGCUUGAUCUAUAACCCUAUUCAGAGCACUCCCGCCAGUCAUCCACAUGUUUCUGUCAUGACUCACUCCUAGCUUUUUCCUUCUUCUACCAGCCUGAAGCAAAGCUGUCUGCAUGGGUUUUGCCUGAGGUUGAAUUGUGUGUGAAAGGUUGAGGAGAAAAAAAAUUGUUACCCUGUGCUGAAAUGUGAGAUGGGAGGAAGGAGGAAGAGCCCUAAACAAACAAAAAAUGUGCAAAUGGGUCCUGAGGUUUUUAUGUGAACAUCUGGUAGUACCAAGGCCACAUGAAGCCAAAGACUGAAUUUCUGAUUCUAAGAAAGGACUUAAUGAAUAUAAUAAACACUACUGAUAGUUUCAACAAAGGAUUUCUGGGAUUUAGCAAAAAUGAACAUUUGAAAGCCAUCAUUUUAGUAAUUCUGACCAUAGCAAUGUUUUCAAUCAUGAUUUCCCAACUUUCCAGUGAAGUUCAUAUACUUUGUUCUUGUCUGGAUGGCUGAUUAAAAUCCUUAUUAAAAAUACACAAGGUUCAAACUCCUGCCAAUGGUUCCACAAAGUCUCUUCCUACUAUUUUAACUCUGUCCCUGACCUUUACCAAAACAUAAGCACAAGGUCACUUGUAUUACAAUUACCUGAAUAAAGGUAAGAAGGUGUUUGUAGGUUUACAGGAAGGUUCGGGUCUUUAACUGGUUAUUCCAUUACUUGUUAAUUACUGAUUACUUAAUGAUAGAGAGUUGACCUCUAUGAUAUACAAACAAAAUGUCUAAUUUUAGCAUAAAGGUGAUAUAAUUCUCUCCCUUCAAACCACAGAAAUACAGUUUAUCUGAUUUGGAUUUUAUAUGAAAAAAAAUAAAAAUGUAUAAAAGUCAAAACCCGCCCUUGGAUGCAAGUACAACCCCCAAAGUCAUUUGGAGACCAAUGCCUGUAUCUAAAAAUGGAAUAUAGCUCCCAGACUAGGUUAAAAUUCAGCAUUGCUAUGCCACAUAUUAAGGUGCUGUCAUAGGUUAAACCAGUGAUGAUCUCCUUCCUCAGCACUGAUUUAAAAGGCUGAAACCAUCCCCCCAGCCUGCACUCUAAAUUUUUAUGUAAAACUCUGUAUUCUGAGAAGUACAGUAGAUUUGGACUUAGUAAAUCAAACUUGAAAGAAGAUAUUUCUUAUGAUAGUUACAGCAUAUUUCAUAGGAAAUACUUCUCUGCUUGGAGAAGUAGAAAGAAAGUCAUCACAUUAGUACUAAUACAAACAGAUUGCCUGAACACUCUAAAAACUGUGUCUUUGUGGUUUUUCCCUGUCUAUGCUCUCAUCCUGCUAAGUGUCAAUAUAAAUUAUGCCUCCUUAAUUUGAACCUAUCUAUCUGGAUUGAUAUCUGCCAUCAACUGUUUAGAUGAUUUUCCACUUUGUGUCAGGUCAUUUUCUAAAUAAAGAACAAGUAACCCAAACCAAAAUAUUAAAAGGUACCUUUCUUUUUAGUGCUUAUGCUGAAAAAAGACAGGCAACAGUUAAAUAUUUCCAGAGAACUCUGCUGAAUAUGUUGCCAACAUUUUUCUGAUAAAAAUGUAGACUCUAGUGUUGUUUUCUUCUUAAAACAACUUUUUCCUUCUACAGCUUUUCUGUGACUGCAAAACAGAGCUCCAAGGAUAUAAAAUAUUCACUGUCUUCUUUAUUUAUUUAUUUUUUGGCAUACGUACCCUGGCAAUUUAGUAGAAGGGCAAUAUAUAUAAAAUGUACAAUGGCAGGAGAAAGGUUCACUCUCUGAAAAUUUUCUUUUACCUUUGUAAAAAUACAGUUAUAAACAGUCAUGGGAUAUAUAUGCUAACAAUGGAUAAUCUGAUGUAAGUAAGUAGCUUCAUUGAUUGAAUUCUUCUGUUGAUUUAUACUAGUUUAACAAAACGUGAAAGUUUCUUAAGUAUUGAUUAUAUAUAUGAGGCAUCUUUAUUUGAUAGUGUGUGGUAAGUAUGGAUGUCUUGGAAACAGUUUGGACAGAAUUACAAAGUUCCUUAGGAAAUGGUGUCAGAAGGUCACAUGGUUCAGAAUGCAUCGCUCAUGUGGAAGAUUAUGGAACUGAGAACUUCACCUUUGCCAAUAUACUUUUCCAGUACUUAUCCUAUCUCUCAAGUAUUUACAUGGUAUAAGUUUAUGUGAUCUGUUGCAUUUCUUUCAUAUUCAGCAGCUUAGGAUCAAGAUAAUAAACAGAAAAAAACCCAAAACAAACAAACAAAAAAAAGCAACAACGCAACCCAAAAUCCCCAAAAAUCCAAGGCCCCAAAAAAUCAACACACAAAUGUUCUUUCAACACUAGUUUUCAGGAGUUUUGUUAUGCUUAGCAAAAAGCCACUGCACAGCAAAAGUUUUCCACCAUUUGCAAUAAUGCUUCUGAUCAUACUACUUAUGGGCAUUAUGGGCAUAAAAACUGAUUAAAUGAUUUGUGUUUAACAUGA